AGUCAGGGCCUUUCGCGGGUGCUGUCAGAGCUGGGCCGGGAACCCUAGGCGGGGCAGCCGGGCCGUAGAGGCGGGGGCCAGUCGCGGUCGGUGGAGAGGGUUGAGGAUGUGGGAGGGGUGGACGUGGCGGAAGCCGCGGGGACUGCGGGGGCGGAGUGCCUCUGGGGAGCCAGGGAGGCCUUUCCAGAGGCUCCUGGGGGAAGAAGAGGCGAAGCAAGAGUACCCGGGGAACCCCUACUCCACCCCCAGCCGGAGACUGGGUUGUGCCUGCACAGACCGGAGCCCACAGUGCGAGUUGCUGUAGGCCACCAACCAGGGUGGCCAGCUCCUCCUGGUUUGCCCGGGAUGUUCUGGUUUUGGGACCAAAGCAUCCCAGGCCUCCAGCCCACUGCAGUGACCAUAUUAUGCGCCCCCAGACCAUCUUCUCCCGCAGCUUCCCUAGAUUAGGCUUGGGAGGCAAGAGGAGGUCUCCUGACCUUUCACACUGCCUUCGUUAAUAUUAAGAUGAAGGCACACUCCACAACUUACUUCCGGCCAGGCCUAGACGUGGCCGUCCUUGUAAGAUAAAAGCUUCCAUGGGAGCCUUCCUUCCUCAUCAAGCCUCGUGGCGGAACAUCUGACCCAUUCAAGAGGAAGGAUGAAAGCUCUACAUGGGAACACGAUGUGAAUGGAAGAAGCCUGUCAUUAUGCAAAUAGUACGGCACUCCGAACAGACACUAAAAACAGCCCUCAUCUCAAAGAACCCAGUGCUUGUGUCACAGUAUGAGAAACUAGAUGCUGGGGAACAGCGUUUAAUGAAUGAAGCCUUCCAGCCAGCCAGUGAUCUCUUUGGACCCAUUACCUUGCAUUCUCCAUCAGAUUGGAUCACCUCCCACCCUGAGGCCCCCCAAGUCUUUGAACAGUUCUUCAGUGAUCCUUACAGAAAGACACCCUCUCCAGACAAAUGCAGCAUUUAUAUACAGUCCAUUGGCUCUCUAGGAAACACCAGAAUUAUCAGUGAAGAAUAUAUUAAAUGGCUUACGGGCUACUGUAAAGCAUAUUUCUAUGGCUUGAGAGUAAAACUCCUAGAACCAGUUCCUGUUUCCACAACAAAGUGCUCCUUUAGAGUCAGUGAGAACACACAAAACCUAUAAAUUCAUGCAGGGGACAUCCUGAAGUUCUUGAAAAAAGAAACCUGAAGAUGCCAUGUGUGUUGUGGGAAUAACAGUGAUUGAUCUUUACCCAAGAGACUCGUGGAAUUUUGUCUUUGGACAGGCCUCUCUUUUUGUAGGUGUGGGGAUAUUCAGCUUUGCCAGGUAUGGCAGUGAUUUUUAUAGCAUGCGCUAUGAAGGCAAAGUGAAGAAGCUCAAGAAAACAUCUUCAAGUGACUCUUCAAUUUUCGACAACUAUUAUAUUCCAGAAAUAACUAGUGUUUUACUACUUCGAUCCUGUAAGACUUUAACCCAUGAGAUCGGACACAUAUUUGGACUGCGACACUGCCAGUAGCUGGCAUGCCUAAUGCAAGGCUCCAACCACUUGGAAGAAGCUGACCGGUGCCCUCUGAACCUUUGUCCUACCUGUUUGCACAAGUUGCAGUGUGCUAUUGGCUUCAGCAUUGUAGAAAGUUAUUAAGUACUGGUGAGGUGGAUUAAUGAUGAAUCUUCUGACACACCUGGAGCAACUCCAGAACACAGUUGUGAGGAUAAUGGGAAUUUACCGAAACCCGUGGAAGCCUUUAAGGAAUGGAAAGAGUGGAUAAUAAAAUUCCUGGCUGUUCUCCAAAAAUAAGGACCUUUAAUUAGGAGUGAUUGAAAUAAAUGACUACUUGCAUGUUAUGCUUUCAUUUGGGUGGAAUACCUCAUCGGAAUAAACUACUGAUCUUGUGCUGUGUCAGAGUAACAGACUAGAACCUUCUUUCAAGUACCUGAAUUGAAAUGAAACUCAUUUUGAAUAACAAAAACUCUAGAAACUCUUUA